rnacentral:rRNA from 1 species
CCUACGGGUGGCAGCAGUGAGGAAUAUUGGUCAAUGGACGCAAGUCUGAACCAGCCAUGCCGCGUGCAGGAAGACGGCUCUAUGAGUUGUAAACUGCUUUUGUACGAGGGUAAACGCAGAUACGCGUAUCUGUCUGAAAGUAUCGUACGAAUAAGGAUCGGCUAACUCCGUGCCAGCAGCCGCGGUAAUAAGGAGGAUUCAAGCGUUAUCCGGAUUUAUUGGGUUUAAAGGGUGCGUAGGCGGUCGGAUAAGUUAGAGGUGAAAUCCCGAGGCUCAACUUCGGAAUUGCCUCUGAUACUGUUCGUCUAGAGAGUAGUUGCGGUAGGCGGAAUGUAUGGUGUAGCGGUGAAAUGCUUAGAGAUCAUACAGAACACCGAUUGCGAAGGCAGCUUACCAAGCUACUUCUGACGUUGAGGCACGAAAGCGUGGGGAGCAAACAGGAUUAGAUACCCCGGUAGUC